UACGAAGGGGGCUAGCGUUGUUCGGAUUUACUGGGCGUAAAGCGCACGUAGGCGGUUUGUUAAGUCAGGGGUGAAAUCCCAGAGCUCAACUCUGGAACUGCCUUUGAUACUGGCAAGCUAGAGUCCGGAAAGAGGUAAGUGGAACUCCUAGUGUAGAGGUGGAAUUCGUAGAUAUUAGGAAGAACACCAGUGGCGAAGGCGGCUUACUGGUCCGGAACUGACGCUGAGGUGCGAAAGCGUGGGGAGCAAACAGG
rnacentral:rRNA from 1 species